UACAGAGGGUGCAAGCGUUAAUCGGAGUUACUGGGCGUAAAGGGCGCGUGGGCGGUCAUGCAAGUGAGAUGUGAAAUCCCCGGGCUUAACCUGGGAACUGCAUUUUAGACUGUGUGACUGGAGUACUGUAGAGGAUAGUGGAAUUUCCGGUGUAGCGGUGAAAUGCGUAGAGAUCGGAAGGAACACCAGUGGCGAAGGCGACUGUCUGGACAGAUACUGACGCUGAGGCGCGAAAGCGUGGGGAGCAACAGG
rnacentral:rRNA from 1 species